rnacentral:SRP_RNA from 1 species
GCUGGGUGUGGUGGCGCACACCUGUAGUCCUAGCUACUCAGGAAGCUAAGGGAGGAGGAUCGCUUGAGCCCAGGAUAGUUGAGGCUGCAGUGAGCCAUGAUCACACCACUGCACCCCAGCCUGGGCAACAGAGCAAGACCCUGCCUCAA